AGAAUGUGGACUUCAUCCCAUAGUCUUACACUGAAGAAAAAAGAGCUACAAAGAAUAAUGAUCCAUGGAUUCUAGAGAGAGACAUGGGCACGUGCAAUUGUCCAGCUGCUGUGAGUCAGCUUGGUGUGGUGGAAGCUUAUGAUGUGAGAUGUGUGGUGGUUACCAUAGCAUACAGCAAACGAAGGUGUGCAAGCAUGAGGGAGCUAACACGUCCCCUAACAGCAGGAUGAAUAAUGAUGUAGUUGCUAAAGAAGAAAAUGGAUGUGGAUGUCUCAGUGUCCACAGAGCAGAAUACACGAUGGCUUUGCCUACUUGAGAAAUUACUAUCUUGGGCUGGC